UAAUUAUGGCUCUACUGUGUGGGGGAGUAAAGAGGCUGCAGUGUGUGUGUGUAAGUAGGAUAGUGGCUGCAGUGUGUGUGUGUGUCUGAGGGGAUAGGGGGCAUACUGAAAAAGGUCAGUAAUGAGAGGGAUAGAUGCCGAGGUGGUUGUGGGAAGGCAUAAGGGCUGUGGUUAGCAUAGGGGCUCUAGUGGACGUAGCAAGGGAUAGAAGCUGUAGUG